AUUGAACGCUGGCGGCAUGCUUUACACAUGCAAGUCGAACGGCAGCGCGGGCUUCGGCCUGGCGGCGAGUGGCGAACGGGUGAGUAAUGCAUCGGAACGUGCCCAGUAGUGGGGGAUAGCCCGGCGAAAGCCGGAUUAAUACCGCAUACGACCUGAGGGUGAAAGCGGGGGACGGAAAGGCCUCGCGCUAUUGGAGCGGCCGAUGUCGGAUUAGCUAGUUGGUGGGGUAAAGGCUUACCAAGGCGACGAUCCGUAGCUGGUCUGAGAGGACGACCAGCCACACUGGGACUGAGACACGGCCCAGACUCCUACGGGAGGCAGCAGUGGGGAAUUGUGGACAAUGGGGGCAACCCUGAUCCAGCCAUGCCGCGUGCGGGAAGAAGGCCUUCGGGUUGUAAACCGCUUUUGUUCGGGAAGAAAUCCUCUGGGCUAAUACCCCGGGGGGAUGACGGUACCGGAAGAAUAAGCACCGGCUAACUACGUG
rnacentral:rRNA from 1 species